CAAGAGAGAACUGGCAGCCAAAAACAUCACAUUCUCUCUGAUGUUCCCUGCGAAGCUGUGCGUCACCCAUGUGAGCAAGACCCUGUACCUGUACCUGAUGCCGAGUCCUUCCUGCGCUCCAUUGGGAUUAAACCACCUUCCAGAUCCGAGGACAGGGUCCGGAAAAAUAUGCCGACUAUGUGGCAAAUUGUUGGGCCCAGAAGGAGUGAGAGACAAGGACACAAAUCUACCGUGGAACACUGUCCAGUCCACAUUGACUACUGAAGCGACCCCUUUUUCUUAAGGACUGGAAACGACCUGGAUUUAUGCUCAUAACUGGGAUCUUAUUGUUAGAAUAAUUCAUCAAUCUUUGGCCUCCAGUUUAUUGGGAUGAUAGGACAAAGGAGCGUUUCUGUCUGCAGUUAUGGGUACAAGGAAAAGGCCAAUUCAAAUCAAGCUAAAACGAAUGGAUGUUGACAUUGCCCUCCUCCAGGAGACCCACCUAUCAGACGAGGAACACAAAAAGCUUAAAGAGAAUGGGUAUUGUUCCUGUGGAUACACUCCAAUACUCUUCACUUAAAUUGAUAGAGCAUCUUUCAUCAGCAGCAAGGAAAAGUGUAACAAAACACUGGGAAAAUGAACAUGCACCUUCAAAAGAUAUGUGGUUAGGUCUAUGUGGGGAACUUGCUGACAUGGAGAGAAUUACAUCAAUCUUGCAACAUAGACAGGUAUGAAGGUGUCUGGUCAGAGUUCCUGUCAUAUCGUACAGGUCUUAUUCUGUCAUUUAUGGGCUUUUUGUUUUUCUGUUGUUUUUGUGUGACUUAAUCCAAAUUGUAUACUUAUUCAGACUCUUGAAAUAUUUGCUCUAUACAGCCAAAAUGUACGCUCCUUAGUAAAGACAGUAAAUAUACGUUGUGUAUGUAUGGUACAUGUUCUUUAUGUGCUCUUUAAUAAAAAGUCAUGUUUAAAAAAAAUGAAUAAGUGCCUUCGAAAAUAAAAUAAAAAUAAGAAAUAUAAUAUUUCAGUACAUUAUUUACUUUUAUUUGGUGACUUUAUCAUUUUUCAUUCCUUAAAGUCAU